UCCAGACUCCUACGGGAGGCAGCAGUGAGGAAUAUUGGUCAAUGGGCGUAAGCCUGAACCAGCCAAGUCGCGUGAGGGACGACGGCCCUACGGGUUGUAAACCUCUUUUGCCGGGGGACAAACGGCGGCACGCGUGCCGUCCUGAGGGUACCCGGAGAAAAAGCAUCGGCUAACUCCGUGCCAGCAGCCGCGGUAAUACGGAGGAUGCGAGCGUUAUCCGGAUUUAUUGGGUUUAAAGGGUGCGUAGGCGGGAUGCCAAGUCAGCGGUCAAAUACGGGGGCUCAACCCCGCCCAGCCGUCGGAACUGCCGGGCUAGAGUGGGCGAGAAGUGCGCGGAAUGCGUGGUGUAGCGGUGAAAUGCAUAGAUAUCACGCAGAACUCCGAUUGCGAAGGCAGCGCACCGGCGCCCUACUGACGCUCAGGCACGAAAGCGUGGGUAUCGAACAGGAUUAGAUACCCGUGUACAC
rnacentral:rRNA from 1 species